UUUAUUUAAUAGUGAUGCUAUUGACAAAAUUUUAUUUGUAUUAAAUACACAUAAUGAUGUUUUUAUGAUUACGGCAGUAUUUUAGUGAUUUUUGGCACUUCGAAAGUUGUGGGAAAUAUUGUACUCCUGACCGCAUAUGGAUGGUAUUUUUCACUGUGUGAGCAAUAUACUUCAUGUAGUUAUUACACUUGCAGAUCAACGAAACUCUCGACUUCUUUAAGAGCAGUCAGGUGGAUACAUCUCUCAAUAUGUUCGUAAUCUCAGAGAGCGUCUAAAGCGAGCAAUCCGAUGAUAGCUUUAUGCUCGACGACAUUGGAAUGACGAAGAUUGGAUCAAUGCGAAAUUAGCUCAAAUUCAAAAUACGGAUACAGAAGAUGACGUUUUAUUUCGUGAGUGAGCCAUCCAUCAAUUUGUGUCAACAAGAACAGUCCCAAAGCAUCCAAGAAAGUACCAGUGUUUCUAUUACUGACUUGAUUAUAUAAAUCAUGCUAUUUAUUUAAUAAUUUCAAGUAAUACUAACUACAUUUAUAGCAAUUAAAAUAUAUGUCUGA